CAGCAGCCGCGGUAAUACGAAGGGUGCAAGCGUUAAUCGGAAUUACUGGGCGUAAAGCGUGCGUAGGCGGUUUGUUAAGUCUGCUGUGAAAUCCCCGGGCUCAACCUGGGAAUGGCAGUGGAUACUGGCAAGCUAGAGUGUGUCAGAGGAUGGUGGAAUUCCCGGUGUAGCGGUGAAAUGCGUAGAGAUCGGGAGGAACAUCAGUGGCAAAGGCGGCCAUCUGGGACAACACUGACGCUGAGGCACGAAAGCGUGGGGAGCAAACAGGAUUAGAGACCCCGGUAGUCCCUGUCUCUUAUAC
rnacentral:rRNA from 1 species